rnacentral:rRNA from 1 species
AAUCAACGCUGGCGGCGUGCCUAACACAUGCAAGUCGAGCGCGAAAGGGGGCAACCCCGAGUAGAGCGGCGAACGGGUGAGUAACGCGUGGGUGAUUUGCCUCCGAGUGGGGAACAACACCGGGAAACUGGUGCUAAUACCGCAUGACAUCCUCGGGUCGUACUGGGGAUCAAAGCUGGGGACCGCAAGGCCUAGCGCUUGGAGAGAAGCCCGCGUCCGAUUAGCUAGUUGGUGGGGUAANGGCCUACCAAGGCGACGAUCGGUAGCCGGCCUGAGAGGGCGGACGGCCACACUGGGACUGAGACACGGCCCAGACUCCUACGGGAGGCAGCAGUGGGGAAUAUUGGACAAUGGGCGCAAGCCUGAUCCAGCGAUGCCGCGUGUGUGAAGAAGGCCUGCGGGUUGUAAAGCACUUUCAGUAGGGAAGAAAAGCCGAGUGCUAAUAUCAUUCGGUCUUGACGUUUACUUACAGAAGAAGCACCGGCUAACUCCGU